UACGUAGGGGGCAAGCGUUGUCCGGAAUUAUUGGGCGUAAAGAGCGCGUAGGCGGUCCGGUAAGUCGGUUGUGAAAGUCAGGGGCUCAACCCUUGAAAGCCGGCCGAUACUGUCGGACUAGAGUCCGGAAGAGGCAAGUGGAAUUCCCGGUGUAGCGGUGAAAUGCGCAGAUAUCGGGAGGAACACCAAUGGCGAAGGCAGCUUGCUGGGACGGUACUGACGCUGAGAAGCGAAAGCGUGGGGAGCGAACAGG
rnacentral:rRNA from 1 species